GUUAAUGCUUCCUUCCAACUGCAACAGUGGAACUCAGAAGUCAAUGCCUUUUCUUUUCUUUUUCCCUUCUCCCUCUCACUUUUCCUCUGACCCUUUGCUCGCAACCCUCCCUCACACUUUGCUAGCAAAAGUCUCUAGCUUGUUCUCAUUCACUCACACAUUGCUUGAAGCUUCUCUCUUGCUUUAUUCACUCACAUGUUGCUCGCAAAAGCUUUUAUCUUGCUCCAUUCACUCACACGUUGCUGGCAAAAGCUUUUAUCUUGCUCUCAUUCAUUCACACGUUGCUCGCAAAAGCCCUUUGCUCGUUCUUUCACUCACCCUUUGCUUGCAAAGGCCGUUUGCUCACUCUCUCCUCACCGCUUCGCUAACAAAAGCCUCUUCUCUUCUCUCUCUGUGUUUUUUUUCUCUCUCCCGCCAAAACUUGCUCCUUUUAUAGCUUCUUCUCUCUCUGCCUCCUCUUCCUCCUUUUUUCUUCCGGGUGUGCCAGAAGCUCCAAUCAGCAUGCAGCUGCACAUGCAGAUCCUGGGGCUUCUGCUGAGCCCUGCAGCUCCAGCUGAUCUCCUCCAGGUCUGUGCGGCACUGUUUUAGCUGAUUCUCUCCCCCGCUACACUUGGCUAGGGGUCGCAUACCACCUGCCAGGUGCUAAAGUACCAUUGGUGGUACGUGUGCCACUGGUUGAAAAGCCCUGAUCGAAUCCUCAUAUUUUAUGAUCUAGCUAUCAAGGACUAGAUUUACACAUCAAGCUUAAUUAUGGAUUAUUGAAUAAAUUAUAAUUGAUUGAGUUUGAACAGUAUACUAAAUCUAAACAAACCAUUGUUUGUUUUAAUGCGAUAGAUGAAUCCGAUCUAUAUUUACCAACUCAUAUCUUUUGAUUCCUGCAGUUGAAAUGUAUUAUGUCAGAAUGAUUCUCCUAGUCUUUGCAGAAUCUCCCAACAAAAGGGAUGAAUUACAUUCUUCUUUAUUCUCCACAACAUUAAAAUUAGUGAGAACAAUAUGAAACGAGAAUUUUAGCCAUACAGGUAAAAAAAGAUAAAAUAAGUUACUUCUAUUUUAUUUUAAUUACACAAUGGAAGAAAUGAUUUAAUUUCACUCUUUGGGAAAGAAAGUCAACUAGCUUAAGACAAAAUCAAGGAUGUCUGAGAUAUCAGUUGCUCUUCUUAGUAGUUCAAUGUAGCUCCAAUAAAAAUGUAAAUAUAUUUGGUCAUAUUUGGCACGUACCUUUUAAUUUUUUUUAAUUAUUUCUGCUUCUGGCAUUUUAUAGGAAAAAAAAUACAAAGCACCCUGUAACUACUCUAGUUUCUGAGAUUUCAUUAAAUAUUAUCCACACUUUGACACAAUGGUAAUAAUUGGAAACAUCAUUAUAAAAAUGAGCAAAAAGGAAAAAAAAUUAAACUAAAUUCUUAGAAUAUGAAAUUCUGUCAUGUACUGGGCUCCUAUGAAUUGUUAUUUACAUUCAUAGUUCUGUCUGAAAUCAUUUCGUUAUUGAUUCCUUUUUACUACCACUAUUUAUUUAAUAGUGCUCUUCAAAUUCAGCUAAAUCACUCUUUCUGGAAAAUGGCCAACUAAUCCUAAUCCUAUUCAAAUUAAUUAUGAUGUGCAGUUGCUGAGAUUUAAAGUGAGAAACAAAAGUGUAAGAAUAAUUAUGCUUCAUUUAAACUUUCACAAGUUGUAGUAUUUUCAAAGGGAUUCUAAUAAAAUAGAUGAUUUAAAAAAACUAAUGGAUGAAAAUUUAAGACUUAAGAAUUAUAUUACCUAAAAUUUGCAACAACAUUAUAUUAGGUUAGGGCUUUAAUUAAUACACUUUAUUUAAAUGCAAAUUCCGUUGUCUCUUUUCUUUGAACUAGAUCUGCACAAGUUUUGGAAUACUAUUACCAAUAUAAUAUUGAAUUCCAAUAGAUUAUUUUACAUAGACAAUUUUAACCCUUUAAACAUAGCAUCUGGAUUAAAAUAUAAUUCAAAUGCUUGUGAAUUAUUUUUAUAUUUUUAUUAUAAAUGUAGAACAAAUUGAUUAACAUUACUAUGCUAAAUCACCCUGUGGAAAGAAAAGCUGGUGAACAUAAAAAUCAGGACCAGUAAUGUGAAUUUUUUUCAGAUAAUGUCUUAAUAAUGACAAUGAACGUUUCUUGCUUGGUUGUAUAUGUUCCAUAAAACCCAAAACUAUAUUAACCACUUGUAGGAUUAGUGCUCUCAAAAAUGUAAGGAUUCAUGUGUCGCAAUAUGGAAAGAAAUUAUUUAUAUUUGAUAUAAGUAACAUAGUGGAGUACUGAGGAUUGCCCUGAAGUUAUAUCUAUAAUGCAGAAAUUUUAAGACCACAAGCAACAUUAAUUUAGUUUCUUACACUGCAGCAUCAAGAACUUGUGUAGUUCAUAAAGGAUACUAAAAGCUCCUGUUGAUUUUAAUAUUUCCUGCAUAUAUAUAAAUUUUUUACAGUGUUUCAAAAUGACAUUUAAACAAGAAUAGGUAAAAUUAGUCAUAAAAAUGGUGAGAAAAAUAGGAAACAGUCAGCUAUAAGUAGGAAGAAUAAUGGAAAACAGAAGCAUUCAGAUCUAGAUACUCAGGUUUCAUAUUAGUACCCAGGUUGCUAAUAAAUAUCUACUUCUAUCACAGCAUAUAAUUUUAUUGGAUUAUUGUAAAAUAAUAUUUUCAAAUGAAUAGCAAAAUAUUAUUUCUAAAGAAACACACCACACGUAUAUAAGUGUCAGACAAGAAUCAGUGAGAGAACUUGUGGAAUCACUAGCAGAACUCAAUCUAAAAAUACACAACUUUUGUUGAAAAUAACGUUUUUGAAAUAAUCUAAAGUCAUGUGAGCAAUAAAUGGACUUGUCAACACACUCCCCCAGAUGGCUUUAGAUUAGAAAAUAUUUUAUGCUAAGCUAUGUAAUAAUCAAAGCAAUUUGUCAAACAAACAAACUUUCCUCAAAACAGCCCUAUAAUUAGUAUAUACUAAUUCCAAAAUUAUUUCAAAUUAUUUCCAUGAUGAUAUAGACCAUUUUCCAAAUCAGAUUUUGUGCUGUAGUAUGCUCAGCUCUUAUGCUAAAUACAUCUCUGAGGUUUUUAAUAUUUAAAAAAAUACCAUAAAAAUACGACAAUUUACCUGAAAGAAAUGUAGCGAAAAGAAAUUCACAGAAAUAAUUUUAAACCUUGGAUAAAGGAUGCAAACACACAAACAAAAACUAUUCUCAUCCAAAACCAUUGUCUACCAAUUUCUUAAUGAAUAAUGAAAUAUCUGUCAGUUAAGGAAGUAUUCAUUCUGUUUUUUACCUAAAAAGGUAUUACACACAACUUAAUACACUAAAUUGCAUUAGCACAGAUCUCUAAUUCCUGCUCAGAACAUCAGAUAAUUACUUCCUAUGACAAAAGACUGGGAACAUAUCUUUUGUACAUGGUGUUAUUUUCACACUGACCUGUAUUCUUCAAAUAGAGAACAGGAGGGGAAUGAAUAGAUUUCAAAACGACGGUUCCAUUUUGAAUCAACAGUCUACCAAAAGCUUUUGAAAAAGAACUCAAAAGCAAAAGGACCGAAAACCCUGUUGCGGCUCAAAUGCCUUAAGGUUGUUAUUUGUAGCAUGGUACUUUGUCAAUUUGGCUUCAUUUUACACAGCCCACUUUCACAAGUGUUACUGGAUUAAAAUGUGCCUAGCCUGACAAUGAAACAGCAGAACCAUCAUGCAUUGUUAUGCAACUCAUUGUCUGCAAGGGGGACUUGUAGCUGUUCUUUAUUCAGCAAGUGCCAACUGCAUGUUUAAUCAAUGUCACCACUCACUACCCUACGCAACUGAAGCCACUGACAUUCCACUCUUCAGAUCUGACUGGCUGCUAAGUUAUGCAAUGCUCUGAAGAAUGCCUUGGGAUUAUUUGUCGGAUGCUCUGAAUGCAGGUGUGUAAUACUCCUAUUCUUGUCGCAAACAACUAACUUUGUUCCUUCUGGAUAAAAAUAUAAACAGGGCAAUAUAACUGCAUCUACUACAUUUGGAUUUACAAUUCAGCAACAUGAAGAAAACAUCUUCAGAGAAUUAACAAGCUCGAGAGCACGUUACAAAAACAUGCAUCUGGAAUGUCUUGGGUAAAUAGCUACAUGUAUAUGACAAAGAGUGGGAGAUUAAAUUUUAACCGGAAGCCUCAGCUGUGUAUCCACUAUUGGUACAGAAUGUGCUUCAUCUGAUCGAAGAUUCAAAAAAUUUAAAAGGGAACAAACAUACAACCCGGAUAAGAAGAGCAGGGUUUUCCUUUCAAACAUAACGUUGUUUCAAUGGAUAACCAACAUAAGGCCUGCAUUUCUUGGAAGAUAUUAUAACACUAUUGCAUCUGCAGCCUAAUUUAUCAAGAAAUUGUUCAUGCAUGCAUACAAUUUCUGCUCUGACUGAAAGGAACAGCCCUCCAUGAAGAUAAGGCUGUUUUUCCACUGCAGUGAGGAGUAAGCAGCAUGUCUGAUGAGAUUUUAUUCCUGAUGCAAUGUAGGCCAGCAGUCCAAACGCUGGUGAAGGUCUUUGCAGAAAAAAUGAGGAGCGCUGCCAUUACAACGCUAGAAGAUGUAAAAAGGCAAGAAGAAAGUGAGGAAAAAGAGGAAUCUGUUUUAGCUCUGUUGGGAAUAAUUGGAACAGUUCUUAAUCUAUUUGUAAUAGUUUUUGUGUAUAUCUACACAACCCUUUGAUGGUUUUCUAGAAAUCUGGAAAAGCACAUAGUGCAAAGGUCAGCAAUGACAAAUAGGAUCAGUGAACUCUAUCCAACAGGAAACAAAGCCUCAAAAGAAGGUAUACAUUCCAGACAGAACUGCCCAGUUAAAGGCCCAGCACCACUGACCAUAAAAUAUACCUUUGAAUCUAAUUAAGCGUAUUACAUGUAAAUGAGUGUCAAUAUUCAAUCUCUAAAAUGCGUACAGUGUUCUUCUGCCAGUGAACAUGGGAGACAUUGAUAAUAUAAGGACGUUACAAAUAAAGAUAAUGGUGCCACAAAACCUACUUGUUUUAUUUACCUGAUCCCCAUUAAGCUUCUGGAUUCAUUUAAAUAACAUUUGGGUUGGAAUCCAGCGCACCUUCCUACCAUCAAGUGCUAAAAUUUAUACAAGUAUAUAUGAAAUGUAGAAAGAAGAACACUGUUAGGCAUCAUAUUAUAAAUAAAUAAAAUAUUCAUUGAUUAGCUUCCAUGAUACUUUUAUUUCUUAUACUGCUGACAAUUCAGUCAGGUACUCCAAUAUAAUGCUUGUAGGUAUUAAUUUAUAUCCAUGCUUAUAAGCUACACUCUAUAUAACAUGUAAUUGUAAAACAAUGUUUGCAUUGCAAAUUGUUAUUUCAAGGGCAAUUUUCAUUAAAAAAAAGAGAAGAUCAUGGUUUGAGGAAACCACAGUAUUUGCUAUCUAAUAUAGAAGUCUGACUUUAACAAAAUAUUGGAAAGAAAUACAUUGAGUAAUUGAAAUUUGAAUCAUGCAUAGUUUAAAAACAGAUGGUUCUAAAGUAUUAUGGUAUUAUAUUGGUUCCAAACAUAUUCUCCAUGGCCAAUGGCCUGGGGAAAUCUUUCAUGCAUUUACUUAAAAUUCCUCUUAAUUGAUCUAAAUAAACAUUUUUACAGUUUUAAAGUG